rnacentral:ncRNA from 1 species
CCAAACGGGCAAACCUGCCGAAAGGCAGGGACGCAAAGCCAUCUGGGCCUUCCGCGGCAUCGCGCCGCCAGGCAGCCGGCUGC